rnacentral:rRNA from 1 species
UACGUAGGGUGCAAGCGUUGUCCGGAAUUAUUGGGCGUAAAGAGCUCGUAGGCGGUCUGUCGCGUCGGCUGUGAAAACCCGGAGCUCAACUCCGGGCCUGCAGCCGAUACGGGCAGACUAGAGUUCGGCAGGGGAGACUGGAAUUCCUGGUGUAGCGGUGAAAUGCGCAGAUAUCAGGAGGAACACCGGUGGCGAAGGCGGGUCUCUGGGCCGAUACUGACGCUGAGGAGCGAAAGCGUGGGGAGCGAACAGG